rnacentral:rRNA from 1 species
AGCGAACGCUGGCGGCAGGCCUAACACAUGCAAGUCGAACGAAGUCUUCGGACUUAGUGGCGGACGGGUGAGUAACACGUGGGAACGUGCCUUUAGGUUCGAAAUAACUCAGGGAAACCUGUGCUAAUACCGAAUGUGCCCUUCGGGGGAAAGAUUUAUCGCCUUUAGAGCGGCCCGCGUCUGAUUAGCUAGUUGGUGAGGUAAAGGCUCACCAAGGCGACGAUCAGUAGCUGGUCUGAGAGGAUGAUCAGGCACAUUGGGACUGAGAAACGGCCCAAACUCCUACGGGAGGCAGCAGUGGGGAAUCUUGCGCAAUGGGCGAAAGCCUGACGCAGCCAUGCCGCGUGAAUGAUGAAGGUCUUAGGAUUGUAAAAUUCUUUCACCGGGGACGAUAAUGACGGUACCCGGAGAAGAAGCCCCGGCUAACUUCGUGCCAGCCGCCGCCGUAACAC